GCCAAUUAUAUACAUGGUGUCACAUCUCUGUUCCACCACCCUAUAAGGGCGGCCUGCACCUUGUCAUGUCGGACAUGUUUUAAAAUUAAAACUUUCUGCCCGACCUGAAAGCUACGGUCCCUGGCACCCCGAUCAUACCAGGUGCGCUGGCGGGUCUGCACCGUCUGAAGAUUUUCCCUUACCAUCCUAGUCAAUGCUUCUAGGCGGUUUCGAAAUGCCAACACAUAUCGUAUGAUUGGG